rnacentral:tRNA from 1 species
GGACUCUUAGCAUAAUGGUUAAUGCGUCUCGCUCAUAACGAGUUGAGUGUAGGUUCGAGUCCUACAGAGUCCACCA